CUCAGUAGAGGUCUAUCAGCUCAGGGUCAAGACUUCAUCUCUGCGGUUGUUGAUAAAGUCACCGGGACAGAAGGACAACUCGUCUCAUUCAGCUGUAGCUAUAAGACGGGUUCUGAACAUGCCUACCUUCACUGAUCAGUAACAACAGAUUCAUCAACUGAACUCCGGGUUGAAACGGCGACUCUGGCAGAUUCAGGUUUCUACUACUGCGCUCUGGAA